rnacentral:rRNA from 1 species
AUGUGUGGCCACACGAGGAAGGAUCGAGUCCGGAAUGAUGAUAUACGAGAUAGAGUUGGGGUAGCACCAAUUGAAGAGAAGCUUGUCCAACAUCGUCUGAGAUGGUUUGGGCAUAUUCAGCGCAGGCCUCCAGAAGCUUCGGUGCAUAGUGGACGGCUAAAGCGUGCGGAGAAUGUCAAGAGAGGGCGGGGUAGACCGAAUUUGACAUGGGAGGAGUCCGUUACAAGAGAUCUGAAGGAUUGGAGUAUCACCAAAGAGCUAGCUAUGGACAGGGGUGCGUGGAAGCGUGCUAUCCAUGUGCCAGAGCCAUGA